UCCUACUAAGGCAAGUUUAAAGGGGAGCAGCUCAAAGCUUGUUGUUGUGGCAUCUUCAGGAGGCUGAAUUUCUAGGUUGUUCUUCUCUUGAAGCUUGGAGUUGGAGGGAGAUUCUCUUCACCGGCGGAUCCUCGGAGAGAUUAAAGAUCCAUACCGGGUUGUGGUUCGCGGGACUUGGUGAGCCCUAAUCUCAGAGCUCGG